rnacentral:rRNA from 1 species
GACGAACGCUGGCGGCGUGCUUAACACAUGCAAGUCGAACGGAAAGCGCUCUACGGAGUUACUCGAGUGGCGAACGGGUGAGUAACACGUGGGUGAUCUGCACUGCAGUUUGGGAUAAGCCUGGGAAACUGGGUCUAAUACCGGAUAGGACUGCGAGAUGCAUGUCUUGGGGUGGAAAGCUUUUGCGGUGUGGGAUGGGCUCGCGGCCUAUCAGCUUGUUGGUGGUGUGAUGGCCUACCAAGGCGACGACGGGUAGCCGGCCUGAGAGGGUGUCCGGCGAGAGUGGGACUGAGAUACGGCCCAGGCUCCUACGGGAGGCAGCAGUGGGGAAUAGUGCACAAUGGGCGCAAGCCUGAUGCAGCGACGCCGCGUGGGGGAUGACGGCCUUCGGGUUGUAAACCUCUUUCAACGCCGACGAAGCGCAAGUGACGGUAGGCGUAGAAGAAGCACCGGCCAACUACGUGCCAGCCGCCGCCGUAGUAA